rnacentral:lncRNA from 1 species
CUCUUUCAACCCUACAAUAGCUUGUGUACUUUUGGUCAGACCAUUGUUGAGCUAUGAAUAGCAUCAUAAAUAUCUUAGGAAGAGAUGUGAUUUACAUUAGCCAGAGAGAAAGAGUUACUGCAAGAUUUAAUAUUUCUACUAUUAGCAAAUCUUUUUGAAAGAGGCGUUUUUUUUUUUUUGUGUGUGUGUGGUGUUUUUUUUUUGUUUUUUUUUUUUGAGAUUUGGCAGGAGGUCUUGCAGAAUGAAAAGGAGAUCAUAAAUUGGAUGCUCUUUACAUCAAAGUGCUUUUGCUUUGACAUCAUAAUCAAGUAUUUUCUACAGUAUAUGCCACAGUUGGCAGGUUAAGUAGGAAAGAACAUUUUGCACACCAGAUGUCCAACUUUUCUGAUGGAAGUGUAAUAUAUGGUUUUGGAAAAAGAGGUUCCAGUUGCCCCAGUGUUACAAAAUCCUUGGCUCAGAUGGACCUUUUUACUUGCCAAAGCCAAAAGAGCCAGGGAGAGGAGGUGCUCCUGAUUUGUCUUCUGUCACAUGCACUUUGUUGAAAAUAUUCUACUCACCAUCUUCAGUGAUGUAUUUAUUAUGAACUCUGGAGAAAAGAGAAGUCUACUACUCAAUCUCUGUAUUUAUUUAUUUUUACUAUUAAGUUCUUUCUAAUGUACUGACAAACUUUUCUUACAAAUUCAGCCCUCUUUUAGAUCUCCUAAAACUCUAAUCUCCUCUGCAUUGUUCUCCAUAUGAUUAUGCUUAUCCCCUUUCAACAUUCUGGCCAGGUUUUCUAGUGCAUCCAACAGAAAACUUCAUUUUCA